CUAAGAAUCUUCCGCAAUGGGGGAAACCCUGACGGAGCGACGCCGCGUGGAUGAUGAAGGCCGAAAGGUUGUAAAAUCCUUUUCUCUGCGAAGAAUAAGUUGGGGAGGAAAUGCCCUGAUGAUGACGUUAGCAGAGGAAGAAGCCCCGGCUAAUUACGUGCCAGCAGCCGCGGUAAUACGUAAGGGGCGAGCGUUGUUCGGAAUUAUUGGGCGUAAAGGGCGCGCAGGCGGUCUGGUAAGUCUGGUGUUUAAGUCCGCAGCUUAACUGCGGUGAGGCGCUGGAAACUGCCGGGCUUGAGUUCAGGAGGGGGAGCUGGAAUUCCAGGUGUAGGGGUGAAAUCUGUAGAGAUCUGGAAGAACACCGGUGGCGAAGGCGAGCUCCUGGCCAUGGACUGACGCUGAGGCGCGAAAGCGUGGGGAGCAAACAGG
rnacentral:rRNA from 1 species